GUUAUUACAUUAAUUAUUUCGCAGGCAUCAGCCUUAUAUUAUAUAGAUGCCUUUGGGACGUGCAUAUUGGUACCGAUUGGGACGUGCAUAUAUAAUUACUGGAGAAAAAGCUAGCCUCAUACUCAUAGUAAGGUUCACAUCACAAACAAUCAGUAUGUGAACAGCAAAGAUUUUAAUCAUUGGCCAGCUUUUGGUCAAGUUUUCAAUGAGGGAGAAAAACAACUACAAAAACAGAAUUGUUUGGUAGUUACCUGGAUUGGAUGUACCAAGGGUUGAAAUUUAAAAAAAAUUUAGAUGCCCAAGUGGCUACUAGAAUAAGAUAUCCCUAAAUCAAU